UACGGAGGGUGCAAGCGUUAUCCGGAUUCACUGGGUUUAAAGGGUGUGUAGGCGGAUAUUUAAGUCCGAGGUGAAAUCUCCAGGCUCAACCUGGAAACUGCCUUGGAUACUAUUUAUCUUGAAUAUCGUUGAGGUAGGCGGAAUAUAUCAUGUAGCGGUGAAAUGCUUAGAUAUGAUAUAGAACACCGAUUGCGAAGGCAGCUUACUAAAACGAAGAUUGACGCUGAGGCACGAAAAGCGUGGGGGAUCAAAACAGGG
rnacentral:rRNA from 1 species